GACGAACGCUGGCGGCGUGCUUAACACAUGCAAGUCGAACGGAAAGGCCCUGCUUUUGUGGGUUGCUCGAUUGGCGAACAGGUGAGUAACACGUGAGUAACCUGCCCUUUACUUUGGGAUAACUUCAGGAAACUUGGGCUAAUACCUGAUAUGAGCUCCUGCUGCAUGGUGGGGUUUGGAAAGUUUCGGCGGUUGGGGAUGGACUCGCGGCUUAUCAGCUUGUUGGUGGGGUAGUGGCUUACCAAGGCUUUGACGGGUAGGCGGCCUGUGAGGGUGACCGGAGAAAAUGGGACUGAGAUACGGACCAGAGUGCAACGGGAGGCAGCAGUGGGGAAUAUUGCACAAUGGGCGGAAGCCUGAUGCAGAAACGCCGCGUGCGGGAUGAAGGCCUUCGGGUUGUAAACCGAUUUCGAAUGUGACGAAGCGUGAGUGACGGUAAUGGGUAAAGAAGCACCGGCUAACUACGUG
rnacentral:rRNA from 1 species